CAUCAGGUAUAUCAGCUUAUUCAACAAUUAAUUAAGGUUAACAUUUAUAAAUCUUGUCAACUGGCAACGUGUUUCAGGUUUUUUGGAAAUGAACACGGUUCAAGAAUAAGUUUUUGUGCUUUGACAACUUUGUCAUGAUUUAGAUUGUUGUUAUGAAUAGGAACUAAUCUAAUAGGAAGACGAUUCGACUUCGAUUUAUCUAAGUUGCUACCGAGGUAUUUAGUUGAGGCAGUGGUGCAAGUAAUCAGCUUAGAACUGGAAAUGUGCAUAUUCAGAAGCUAUCAUGUAAAGUUGAUUCACUUAAUGGUUUGAUCAUUAAGCUUCUUUAUGCAGAAAAGCUCCAUAGUAUGACACUUACUGAUUGUAGAGAUGUGUAUACUUGGGGAUUUGGAAGAAGGAGGCGUAUGGCCAUCCUGAUUUUGACGUACACAGCAGGUGUGAAAUUGUUCUUCAUCUCGACUUUAAUUCAGCUGUACGAAUUAACUGUGCAACAACUGCUCUUUGUAUCUUCAUAAACUGCACAUCCAAUACUGACCCCUUGGAUUUCAAAUAUUUAGACUCCAUUUGACGAGAACAUCACAGGCUGAUUUGAAAGAUUGUUUUUUUGGUAGAGUUCAUUGACAUCGAUUGAUCCAUUGAAUUGGCCCUACCAAGUGAAAUAAAUAAUUUCUACUAUUAUUGUAGGGCUAUAUAAGUUUUUGGCACCUUUUUUUGUAUUGUGAUUUGCCAUUGUCUUGUUAUAUAUGUCUUAAGUAGUCGUUGAUGAAUGAGCUUGAUGAGAUGGAAAAGAUUAACGCAAAUCUCUCUGUUGCCGUGGAAGAGGUGACUCUAGAGCAUGUCAAUAAAAAUGAGAAAGGUAUCAACGAAGAUGAUGAUGAGGACGACGACGUAAGUGACGAAUUUCAAGAGGACGGUUUACGUGAUGAGUACGACAUAUGUGACAAAUUUCAAGAGGACGAUUUACGUGAUAUGGACAACAUAGGUGACGAAUUUUAAGAGGACGACAUAGAUGAUGACCUUCAAAAGGACAUCAUAUGUGAUGAAGAGGAUGAUGGAGAUGACGAUGUGUUCGGAAAAUUUAAAUGAGUUGGAUGUUAU